AUUGAACGCUGGCGGCAGGCUUAAAACAUGCAAGUCGAGCGAGCGGCGGACGGGUGAGUAAUGGCUGGGAAACUGCCUGAUGGAGGGGGAUAACUACUGGAAACGGUAGCUAAUACCGCAUACCAUCAGAUGUGCCAAGAUGGGAUGAGCUAGUAGGUGGGGUAAUGGCUCACCUAGGCGACGAUCCCUAGCUGGUCUGAGAGGAUGACCAGCCACACUGCAACGGAGACACGGUACAGACUCCUACGAGAGGCAGCAGUGGGGAAUAGUGCACAAUGGGCGCAAGCCGGAUGCAGCCAUGCCGCGGGUGUGAAGAAGGCCUUAGGGUUGUAAAGCACUGUCAGCGAGGAGGCGUUACUCGCAGAAGAAGCACCGGCUAACUCCGUGCCAGCAGCCACGGGAAUAC
rnacentral:rRNA from 1 species